rnacentral:tRNA from 1 species
GCGGGCGUGAUGGAAUGGUAGACAUAUCGGACUUAAAAUCCGAAGGCCGUAUGGCUGUGUGGGUUCGAGUCCCACCGCCCGCACCA